GACCCGAUGGUGGAAUGGUUACCACACCUGCUUUUGAUUCGUUUUUUCCAUUUCGCUUCUGCAGCAGGAGACCCCCGCUCGAUUCGGGGUCGGGUCA